UUUUUCAGUUUUCGUUUCAUCCUUUAUCAUUUCUGUUAUCAUGUUAUCAUUUGUUGCAUUGCUAUUGUUUUUGAUUAUGUAUGGGUAGUGAACUGUAUUUCUGAGGAUGGGAUAGAGUAGUUGUAGUGUCCUGGGUCGCUUUAGUUAGUUGAGUUUAGAAUAUUAGAGUCCCUUCUGGAUUAGUUGCACUUAUUGCUUGUUCCUUUUUGAUCAACUAAAAAAUGAAUCAGACAUUUCCGCGCUCAAAAAGCUUUUGAUGGAAUGUCGGAUCUAUUAAUUCCAGCGAUAUUAAUCUCUAUCCCAAGGGAUUGGCCGUUUAGAACGGGU
rnacentral:sRNA from 1 species